CAGACGGGUGGUGUAGGUCUGCACUUGGGAACUGAACCUGGGCUGCCCAAGCAGAGCGCCUUGCACCAUUCUUGUUGGUUUAUUCCUAGGGGAUUUUUUUUAAGUUUAUGUUGCCAUUGGGAAUGGGAUCUUUAGGUUUUAGUUUUCCACAGAGAAAAGAAUAUGAGAAUGAAAAGAAAGCAGGAGUUGAAAGAAUUGGAGAAAGAAAAAAGCAAAGAUGAAAUGAUGCAGAAGGAAGACAGAGAAGAGAAAAUUGGAUUUUAGUGAGUACCUAUUUUGUGACAUGCCCUGUGGUAGAGACGUUCGGGAGCACCUCUCACCGGCCAGCUCAUGCGCUCUUCCUGCCAGGUGGCUCACCUGAGCAAACUGAAGUUGAAAAGGUCAGUGAGGGAGCACGGAACAGGAAAUGGAAAGUGAACAGGUUUGGAGUGAGGCCUGGGACCCCGUCCCAGAUUCCCCUCUCACCAGCUGUGUGGUUUUGCUCCAGUUACCUAAUUACCUUCCCCAUUUGUAAAGUUUACAUAGUAUCUGCUCGGGUGACCGUGGGGAUUAAUUGGAAUAAGCAUCUAAAGGGCCUGCUGCGUUAGGCGCUGCUCUCCACACGCGCCCGCGCCCACCGGGGACCGUCCCUGCCCACGCUCCGGCCUUUCCGCCACGGCCGUCGCCGAGUCUGCUCAGGACUGCACGGAGCCGUUCUGUUAACAUGCAACGAGAUGUUUAUCCCGUGAGUGCAUCACAUCCAGGAACGCAUACCUGACAUUCUUAAGAAAGACUGUAGGAGAGACAGUUGUUAGGAGCUGUGAUCUGAGUCUGAAAAAAAUCACAUAAGCCUGAAACAAAAUCAGCCGUUUUUACAAAAGGAGGCAUUGUUGAAAUGUGGAUCCUUAGUCAAGCCCCACUCCCCCGCCGUGAGAAACACCCUCUGUUUCUGCCCGAACAAUAGUUCCUUGUGCCGAGACAAUACUGGCUGCAUAGCCCUGGAAAGCAUCAAAUUCCCAUGGCGAUGGCAACGCUUUCUCCCAGGGACACUGGAAACAGUGUCUGGAGGAGCCGCACCGCUGGACCCAGGCCCUCAGCCCUGGAGAGGAGGCUCCGUUCCAGCCCGAAGAGCAGGAAAACAGAGCUGCGCCCUCGUCCUGGCUACGUCUUGUUUUUGCUGCAGGGCUCUGCCCCUCCCAGGAAGUUAUGCUUAUAAGAUGUGAGUAUAAAGUCGAGAAAGAGAGGGAAAUAAGACAUACUGAAAUGCCUAAAUGAGCGUUCUCUUCUGGGCAGCAUCUCCAUCGGGUCCCAGCACGUUGCGCUUACUCACCGGGAAACGCGUGGCCCCGGGCUGGAUUUAAAUCCUCCGGCUCCGCAGCUGGGAGCUCUUGAGGACAUUAGCUCGCCUCUCUGAGCCUCAUUUUCUUCAUGCAAAAAAUGGGGUUAAUAACAAGGACCUCAGAGGAUCGCUGUGAGGAUAAUACAAAAAUGUGCUCAAUAAAAAUCAGAAUUAUUCUUUCUUCAUACAGGGAAUUUAAUUCAGAGCCCCUGAAUGUCUUCAGUGAUUCUCAUUUCCCUUUUCAAGGGGGAAUUUGGUUUCUGCAAUAGCCAUAUAUCGUAAGAUUCUGGGACCAGUAAAUGAUGUAUGUGAUAAAACUGAGCAGUUGUAUUUUUUACUUUCUUUAAAGGGAGGUUGUCUUUUAAAUACCGAGACUAGUUUCCAUAAGUGUGUGAUUUACAGACUGACCUUGACCUGUUGGAUCUAUGUUUAAAUUGUGUCCAGAAGCCAGUUGCUUCUCACUGCCUCCUGCUACCACCUGUUCAAAUCGAAGCCAUUAGCGUCUUUCUCCAGGAGCAUUCAAAUAGCCCCUCCUAACUGGCUUCCCUGUUUCCACUAUUGCCCUUGGUGUAUUUUGAGCAAUGGCAGUAUCAUUGGAAUAAAUGUAUCGCCUCCCCAGAGGGAUGCUUUGACCAUCAUUUAUUUAGAUAUUCACUUAUUCAACAAAUAAUUAUGGAGCCCCUACCAUAUGCCAGCGUUGUUCCAGGCUCUGGCACUACAACAAUAAACACAACAGGCACAGAUCCCUGCCUCUUGGAUUGUAUAUUCUUGGGAGGCGCCAUGACCAUUGAACAAACAAGCAAGCACAGUGUAGCCUAUGCCAGGUUGUGAUGGGCAUUAUGGGAAAAAAUGCGGAGUAAAGGCACAGGGAGUGGGGUAGGAAGGGGGCUUGUUAUUUUAAAUAUGAUAGCUGGGAAAAUCCCUCUGAUGAACUGACGUUUGAGCAGAGACCAGAAGGAGGGGGGAGGGGGGAGAGGGGCGUGUGGUUAUGUGGGAGGAGGAAAGGAGGGUGUUCCAGGCAGACAGGACAGCUGGUGCAAAGGCCCUGAGGCAAAGCAGAGGCCAGAACAGCCCCAGCAAAGUGAGUGAAAGAAGAACAGAGGGGUGGUUACAGACACGCUGGGAGUGGGAAAGCGAUCACAGUGGGCCCUGUGGGCCGCCGUGAGGACUCGGCUCCUAUUCUAGUGAACUGGAAAGCCACCAGAGGAUUUUGAGGGCAGAAGUGAUGAUGAUCUGAUUUACAUUUUUAAACUGACCUCGACCUAUUGGUCAACAGGUUGGGAGUAGCCAUAUGGUUGUAAUGCUGGGAGACUUGGCAAGACUAGGGUGAGACCAGGGCAGGAUUUGGGAUUGGUGACAAAGCAGGGAGAACAGAAUCUGGAUUUCCUUCAGAAGCCUGAACCCUUGGGGGGCAGUCUACCAUCAGGGUGAACAGAUGGGUUCUGCAGUUGGUCAGCUUGAGUUUGACGAGCCAUGUCGAGGACGUGGAGAACGCGGCCCGGACCUCAGCUGCUCAUCACAGUGACAUACAACUGCAGGCACAGCGGGAACGCACUGCAAUUCUUGCUGUAGGAAGCCGUCGCUCGCUGCUCCAUGACGCUGACCGUUGCUGGCAAUUCAGAAUGCUCCGGGCUGAGGCAUUUGUUGCAUCUCUUCUCAAGGUAUAUCUAAUGGUACGUCAGCCUUACUCAGUAACCCAGUUAUAGAAAAUACAUUUCACAGAAUUUUACAUUGCUGCUUUUUGUGAAUUACAGCUUCCGGGAACUCAUUUUGAAACCCCAAAUAGUAUAGAAGAAACAUUUGCCACAGACUGUGUCUUGCUUCUCAAUGUAAGGAAAAAUACAACUUGUACCUCAGCAUUAUAUUCUCCAAAUCUGUUGGGUAAAGAAGACAAUGCCUAGCUCUGUGGGUGAUACAACCGACGGAGCCUGGACUUUGCUGCAGGGGAGGUAGAUGAUCCACACAGCACAUGGCUAUCGGUUGCUUCUGUAACUAAGAGCGGCUGUAUGUGCUGGGGCUCAGCACUCCUUCCCUUGGAAGCUGCCGAACAGACUGCAGAGAGCUAUAUUCUGCUUUUCUAUAAGGAGAAAACAAUUCUUUGUUAUUCAGAUUUACUUCUCAAAUGGGUUACUGAAAUACUUAGGACUGGGUAUGUAACCGCUUUGUGUCUUACUCAUUCAAGAAAUAUUUCUGUUCAAUUUCAGGCGCUGAUCUAUGUGUUUGGGCUAUGUUAGUAAACAAAACAUCUAAAAGUCUCCGCCUUCUUGGAGCUUACAUUCUAGUGGGGGGGGAGAAAAAAUAACUAAAAACAUAAUAAAUAGUUAAAUUAUAUAAUAUGUUGGAAGCCCAUAAAAUGCUGUGGAAAAGUAGAGGGUGCUAAGAGAUUUGGGCAUGCAGGGGGAGGGAGGGACCGCUUGCAGUUUUUGACAGAGGAGAUAAGGUGAGCCUCACUGAGAGGGUGACAUUUGAGUAAAGAUUUGCAGGAGGUGAAGUAGUUAGUGGACUCCUGGGGAAAGAAUGUGUCGGGCAGAUGGAAGAGCCAGGGCGCAAGCCUUCAGGCAGAAACAAGGCAGGACAGUGUGAGGAAAGCAUGGAGACCAGUAUGGCGGGUGUGGGAUGAAUGAGGGAGAGAGUAACAGGAGGUGAGGUCAGAGAGGCGAUGAGGCCCUGCUUGUAGAGGGCCUCACUGGCCAUUUAAGGACUUCGGCAUUUGGUCUGAGUGAAAUGGGAAGCUUUGGGAGGAUUUUAAGCAGAGGAAUGAUAUGCUCUGAGUUACAUUUUAGGAAGGUCAUUCUGGUUUCUGUACUGGGAAUAGUCUCUUGAAAGGCUGGUUUGGGAGCAAGAAGACCAAGUAGGAGACUGUAGCAAUAAUCUAGCUGAGAGAUGAUGAUGACUCAAGCCAGAGUGGUAGCUGGGGGCUGGAGGGAAGGGGUGUGAGUGAGAGGAGUCGACAGGGAUACCAGCGUUUUUGGUAUGAGCAAUUGGAAGGGUGGAGUUUCCAUCGACUCAAAUGGGAACAACCUCUGAUGGGGUAGGUUUGUGGGAGAAGAUGAGAACUUAAUUUUUAGACAUGUUAAGUUUGAGAUGCCUGUGAGGCACCAAGUGGGCAUGUCAAGUAGGCAGCUGCCUAUAUGAGUCUAAAGUUCGAGAGAGAGGUGGGUCACAAGAUAGAAAUUUGGGAGUCGUUGUCAUAUCGGUAAAGGCGUUCGUUGAGAAAGUUGGUACAAGGAAAGAAGAAAAUCAAGGACUGCUCCCUGGGGCGCUCCAAAAUUAAUAGAUCUUGGAGAAGAGCGGGGUCUAAAAUGAAGACUGAGAAGAAAUAACCAGUGAGAGAGGAGGCAAAUGAAAAGGAGUAAGGCGUCCUGGAAGCCAAGUGAAGAAAAUAUACUGACGGGGGACUGAUCAACCGUGCCAUUGGAUUUGCAGCCAAUGAGGCAAGCCAGCCCUGGGGCUCCCUCUAGGCUGGGAGGUCCUAGCAGGAGGAGGACGGUUCCACAGAAAGCAGCCUGAGGUGGCAGCCCAGGAUUCGGGAUUUCAAGAUUCAUAAGCAUCGUGACCAUAUUGAAAUCUGCUAGACGUAUAAAUAACAUUUGGCACAGGACAGCAGAUCCAGAUGAGUUGAUAAAGGAGAUAUAGAUGUGGACACAAGUUCCCAGGGGACUUCAAACUGCGUGGAGAUUGACACUUCUGGGCUUCAUUCCAUAUGGAGAGACCUGCAGGGCUGCCCUGGGAGAGGACCCAGUGCUCGAAAUGAAGAACGUAGAUGAUGUUCACAGCUGUAAUGAUUCACAAUCUGCUAUCUGAAACAGACCUUCAAAAUCAUCCAAUCUGUUGGAUCUUUAAAAUCAUCCAAUGAGUAAAAUCUGUUAUUAUACUAGUGAGAAAACUGAGCUUCAUUUUGUUAUCUAGUCAGUGAAUGGCUCGGGAGUUCUAAAAUCCAGGUCUCCAGAGGGUCAACGCUAGAAUCUUCCCACCAAACCAACACAGCCUCUUCCACAACAUCGUAUGGUCCUUGACUCCAAUUAUCUGUGGAAAACAGAUAAUAUAAGGAAACGUCCCUGGGGUGGAAUCCUGGGGCCACCAUGCUGCCCAACUCCAUGGAGCACAUUUCCUUCUCUUCUCUCCCAAAACUGCAAGAACCAGAACACUAAUACAUGUGAAUUUCAAGUUUAGCUGAAGCAUCCUUCAAACCACAGUGUGGGGUAACCAUCUGGGGCAAAACAAUGGGAUAAAGAAGAAAAAGGAGGGACCAGGGCCGGCCCCGUGGCCGAGUGGUUAAGUUGGCGCACUCCCCGUU